UACGGAAGGGGCAAGCGUUGUUCGGAUUCACUGGGCGUAAAGGGUGCGUAGGUGGUGAGGAAAGUCGGAUGUGAAAGCUCGGAGCUCAACUCCGAAAUGGCAUUGGAAACUACCUUGCUCGAGGGUUGGAGGGGGGACUGGAAUGCUUGGUGUAGCAGUGAAAUGCGUAGAUAUCAAGCGGAACACCAGUGGCGAAGGCGAGUCCCUGGACAACUCCUGACACUGAGGCACGAAAGCUAGGGGAGCAAACAGG
rnacentral:rRNA from 1 species